CUAAAAGAUGGCGACCGGCGCACGGGUGAGUAACACGUAUCCAACCUGCCGAUGACUCGGGGAUAGCCUUUCGAAAGAAAGAUUAAUACCCGAUGGCAUAGUUCUUCCGCAUGGUAGAACUAUUAAAGAAUUUCGGUCAUCGAUGGGGAUGCGUUCCAUUAGGUUGUUGGCGGGGUAACGGCCCACCAAGCCUUCGAUGGAUAGGGGUUCUGAGAGGAAGGUCCCCCACAUUGGAACUGAGACACGGUCCAA
rnacentral:rRNA from 1 species